rnacentral:tRNA from 1 species
GCGAGAGUGUUGGAAUCGGUAGACAAGACGGACUUAGAAUCCGUUGACAUUAAAGUCGUGUGGGUUCGAGUCCCACCUUUCGCACCA